rnacentral:rRNA from 1 species
UACGAAGGGGGCUAGCGUUGCUCGGAAUCACUGGGCGUAAAGGGUGCGUAGGCGGGUCUUUAAGUCAGGGGUGAAAUCCUGGAGCUCAACUCCAGAACUGCCUUUGAUACUGAAGAUCUUGAGUUCGGGAGAGGUGAGUGGAACUGCGAGUGUAGAGGUGAAAUUCGUAGAUAUUCGCAAGAACACCAGUGGCGAAGGCGGCUCACUGGCCCGGUACUGACGCUGAGGUGCGAAAGCGUGGGGAGCAGACAGG